rnacentral:rRNA from 1 species
CCUACGGGAGGCAGCAGUGGGGGAUAUUGCACAAUGGGGGGAACCCUGAUGCAGCGACGCCGCGUGGGUGAAGGAGUGCUUCGGCAUGUAAAGCCCUAUCGGCAGGGAAGAAGCAAGACGGUACCUGACUAAGAAGCCCCGGCUAACUACGUGCCAGCAGCCGCGGUAAUACGUAGGGGGCGAGCGUUAUCCGGAUUCACUGGGUGGAAAGGGAGCGUAGACGGCCAUGCAAGCCAGGGGUGAAAGCCCGGGGCCCAACCCCGGGACUGCCCUUGGAACUGCAUGGCUGGAGUGCGGGAGGGGCAGGCGGAAUGCCUGGUGUAGCGGUGAAAUGCGUAGAUAUCAGGAGGAACACCGGCGGCGAAGGCGGCCUGCUGGACUGCGACUGACGUUGAGGCCCGAAAGCGUGGGGAGCGAACAGGAUUAGAUACCCCUGUAGUC